UACUUAUACGAUAACCCGGUAUACAAGCUCUAACCCGGUUUCAAUUAAGAUACAUCCCUCCCAAAUGCUUAUACCUCUACCCAAGCUGAAGCCUCCGAUAUGCGCUACCUCGGAGAACCAGAUUGCUGCCUGCUACCGCACUCCUUUGUCUAAAACACCCCUCGCCAUUGUCGUCAAUCUGGGACACGCAUAGUUUUUUACGAGCCUAGCUUGUCGUUUUGCUUAGCAACAAUUUUCUGUCGGCGCGAAAUUUUUCUGUUUAACCACCGACCACCGUCGGCUGAAGGUCGGCUGAAGCAGUGUCACCAAUCCCGAGUAGCUCCAUUCUUGUUGGGGAUUAUCGAAUCCAUGGCCUAAUUACAGUUAAAAUUAAGUACAUCCUAUAAAAUUUUGUCAAUUUUCUCCCAAAUUAUUGUCUGUUGUGUUUUGGUGAAUGUAUUGUUUCAUUGAUUCAAUUUUCUCCAAGCAUUUUUUCAGCACCGUUUACAUAUUUUUUCCGGAGCUUUGUGAACCAGGUAUCUGCGUCGCUUUUAUUUGCGUUAUUGAGGAAAUUAAGUUCGAAUCCAGUAUGCAAUCCUUGUGUUUCCCGGCCUUCAUGACUGAUAUUCGAUCAUUGUAUGUUAGCCUUAAAAGCAAAUGUUUGAUGUCUUUCUGAGCCUCAAAUUUAUGUUUGGAUUUAUCAGGGAUCUGGUCGACAGAAUGAAAUGACAACCAUUUUGAUUUUGUUAGAAGAGAUUAUACGAAACUAUCAAAUAAACUUGUUGCUCAUCUCCUUUAUGAUCACACUUCUUUGCCCGCAAACACGGAAACGUAAACGUUGGGACCGACUAAGAUAGUCCGAAGUUUUAGAUUCAAUACCUGCCCAUGUACGUCAAUUGGAUCAACCUGUGUGUGUUACAGAUAGGUUUUUGAAAUAGAUUUUACAGCUUGGUUGCUUUUAUGCUUUGUUUAGCUAGAUUGAAGCUUUGGGGCUUUUGCGUCUUAUCUCUCUUUUCUAAAAUUAAUGACCCAAAAAUAUGCUAUACAAUGAAUUUGAACUCAUAUUGUAGUUUUUUUUUAUUCAUAUUUUUUUUUAAUACACAUUCUACACCAUUGCUCUAAUAGUUGCUGGUGCUAGUAAUCCAUUGAUGAUAUGGGCUUGAUUAUGUAGCUUGUUGAUUCAAAUGCUGAAGUUUGUAUAGAUUUUAAGUCUUGCGACUCAGAGAAAGAGAGCUAGAAUCGCUGACAAGAAGAAGAGGAUCGUCAAGGCCAAGUCAUAAGCUGCUGAGUACCAGAAGCUUCUUGCGACUCGCAUGAAGGAACAGAGGGAUAGGAGCAGUGAGAGUUUGGCCAAGAAGAGUUCUAAACUUUCUACUGCAACAAAACCAUCAGCUGCUGCAUAAUCGACAUCUUCUGCGUUUAUGCUUCUGAAUCUGCUCAUGUCUUCUCAGAACUGAUUGAGUUUUAGAUAAUUUUGAAUCUUUUGCCGAAUGUUACAAAACCAUGAGUUUUGCCUAUUUUGUUUUGGAUAAAUUUUGAGAUGAUACUAUUUUCUUUGAA